UACGUAGGGUGCAAGCGUUGUCCGGAAUUAUUGGGCGUAAAGAGCUCGUAGGCGGUUUGUCGCGUCUGCUGUGAAAUCUGGGGGCUCAACCCCCAGCCUGCAGUGGGUACGGGCAGACUAGAGUGCGGUAGGGGAGAUUGGAAUUCCUGGUGUAGCGGUGAAAUGCGCAGAUAUCAGGAGGAACACCGAUGGCGAAGGCAGGU
rnacentral:rRNA from 1 species